GGGAGCGGCGGCGCUGCGGGCGCUGAGGGACGCGGAGCCCCGAGCCGCCCUGCCCGGCAGCGCCGCACGCCCGGGGGGACAGCGACGGCGGCCAGCGCCGGUGGGGCCCGCAGCCGCGCUGAGGGAGCUGUCGUGAGGAGGUUCCCGUUUGGAGCUGGGCUCCAGAGAGAAGGAACCUGAGGUUGUCGCUCCUGGUAAAACUGGUUCCCUGAAUUGGGAUCCAGAGCAUCCUGAGGCUCCUGGUGCUUGAGGCUGCGAUGUUUGGCAGGAUCACUGGGGAGCGUGGGACGAGAACUGAGCCAUAACUUCCUGCAGGCCCCCCUAGCAGGGAGAGGAGCAGCAAACUCUGCUGGAAGAAUACCCACGGGAUGAUGACCUACACUUUGGAAGCCAGUCUGGGAAGGAAACCACGUUAUUUUGAAGGAAAACCUCAGGUGGAACACGUGGGGAAGGAUUUAUUGAUGAGAGAUGUCUUGACAGCGAGAAAUAGGUUGGUGUUGGGUUUUUUUACAUGAGCAGAGCAUCUGGAAGCACUCCAGGAAGGCGAUGGAUAGUGAGGAGCUGAGGACAUGCUGGGGAUGGCUGCUGCCUCGUCUGCUGCUCCUGCACUCCCAGCUGGUUUGGCUCCUGUUAAAAUUGCCACUUUCUGCAGAGCUGCAUCAAUAUUCUCCUGCUCGGGGGAGGAUUGCCCUGCGUUCUUGGCUUUUUGGGAAUUUUCCUGGGAGCGUCGUGCUCUUGGUGUUGUGUUCAGCCGGAGCAGUGCCUCUGGUCCCUUUCUCCAGGAGAGGCUGGAGCUUGGAUUCCUCUCUCUGAGGUGGCCCUGGUGCUAAAGGCAGUUCUUCCAAGGGCAAAGGCAGGAGUGCUCCGGGAGGCAGGAGUGGCUGUGACACUGAGCAGGUGCUCCCUGCUUCCUCUCCUUUGGCUCUCCUGCUGGAAAUACAAGCGCCCUUCCCCUCCAUCCCUUCCAUAAUCCCGGGGUCACUGUUUAUCCUGCUGUGGCUGGCUGCUGGGCAGAGGAGGUGCUGCCUCAGGGGUGGUUGCACACAGCCAUGAGCUUCAAGCAGAGGAUUCCCCCAAAAUGCCCUGCCAGGGGGAGGUGGGGUGUUCCUGGGGCUCCCACCUGACCCGCUGGAAGCUGGCAGACACGAGGGCCGUGUUCCCCAGCGUGCCAAAAACUCCCUCUGGCAGUGGGGCUGCCCCUCCAGCCUCCUGUGCUCCCCAAAUCUCCCUGCCCGGGGCAGUGCAAGCAGUGCUCCCGCAGGUUUCCUCUCCAGCCCGUUGUCCUGAUUCAUGCCUUUUCCUGAUUCUUGCUUUUCGGGAGCAGGGACUUUGCCCCUGCAAUUCCGUGCUCGGCUGUCACAACUUUAUGUCACCUCCUUUGUCUUUCCCCCUUCGUUCUUAUUUUUGCCCUUUCCUCGCUGUCGCGCUCUCUCUACACCUUCAGGCUUCCAGC